GACGAACGCUGGCGGCGUGCUUAACACAUGCAAGUCGAACGGAAGGGCCCUGCUCUUGUGGGGUGCUCGAGUGGCGAACGGGUGAGUAACACGUGAGUAACCUGCCCUUGACUUUGGGAUAACUUCAGGAAACUGGGGCUAAUACCGGAUAGGAGCUCCUGCUGCAUGGUGGGGGUUGGAAAGUUUCGGCGGUUGGGGAUGGACUCGCGGCUUAUCAGCUUGUUGGUGGGGUAGUGGCUUACCAAGGCUUUGACGGGUAGCCGGCCUGAGAGGGUGACCGGCCACAUUGGGACUGAGAUACGGCCCAGACUCCUACGGGAGGCAGCAGUGGGGAAUAUUGCACAAUAGGCGGAAGCCUGAUGCAGCAACGCCGCGUGCGGGAUGACGGCCUUCGGGUUGCAAACCGCUUUCGCCUGUGACGAAGCGUGAGUGACGGUAAUGGGUAAAGAAGCACCGGCUAACUACGUG
rnacentral:rRNA from 1 species